GUAUGGAAAAUCAGAAGACACUGUAAAGGAUAAUGUAGAAAGACACAAGGCCGUUGAGAGCAAAGUCAACGAACUUGAAAACAAUGUAGAUACAGAGAACAGCUAUGAUAAUGUUGAGAAAAUGGAAGAUGACAUCAUCAUUGAGAACAGAGAUGAGGAAGUUGAAAAUGAGGCUGUAUCAAGCCAGAACAGAAUACAAACAGAUUUCAUAAACAGUCAUGUAAACAGUGUUGUUGCUUAUUUGGAGGAGAUUAUGGACUGCUCUAUACAAGACUG